UCACAGACCAUCAAGGCCAACACCUAAAAAAAAUAUCUUUCAACUUUGAACAGACCAUGCCAUCAGUAAAUAAAAUAAUAUUUAUCCAUUUUAAAUAAUUAAAAAAAUAAAAAUUAAAAACGGCCACAUAAAAUGCUGACACUUCGAGCCCCGAGUAUCGCCAAUGCCGCGGCAUUUUCGACAAUCAAAACAGACUGAUCCGGCACUCGUAGAAAAAUGCUGCCGCAAUUUCGCGGGACGAUUGCCACACAUCGAGCCUGCUCCAUUUCCCUUCCGUUCGUGUUUUUAAGACACGAACGAAAAGUGUCGCGGACGGAAGUGCCUCUUCUAUCGCUUAGCAGCAGCUAAGCUUAGCUUUCCGCUCCACAUAGGGAACUCCCGCCCCCGGCACCGGCUGCUCUCCUAUUGGCCGCGCGUAGAUGUCGUCACAGCGUUUUGACGCUCGAAUUAAAAAUGUUUUAAAUCGGGAGUCAAACGCCACCCUUGCGCGACGCUCUGCGCCUCAGCGAGGACUUGUGCUCUGUCGCUGACGACGCACAUACACAAUGAAUGACGCGUUCAAUGUGUAGGCACCUUUAGCGCAAAUGAAUGCACCCAGGAGACCGAAGACCCCUGCAACCAAAGACACGGAAAGGUCACUUGGAAAUUAAGAUGCAGCUGAAGAUAAGGGACUAAAAAAAUCUCGUUAAGUUCAUACAAAUUACAAUUGUUAUCAAUUUCAUUGUCAUCAUUGCCACAUAUGUGUGUGUGUGUGUGUUUUUGUGAACUGUGAAGUUAAACUAAGACACGGUAAAACAGAAAACAGUUCUAUAAGGACCAGUUCUUUUAAGCCAGUGCAUUCAAAAUGUGAUUCACACCAGUUACAAGUGUGUUAUUAAAUGGCUUUUAUUAUAUAUAUUUUUUAUAGCGCAAACAGAAAAUGCAUGUUUAGUUUUAAACAAAAGUGAAAGAAGGGAAAUGUUAUCAUCAUUUAUGCCCUAGUCUGGAUAAGUCGUAACAUGCCCUGGGGUAAGAUGUGACAUUAUGCCACAAUUUGAUCGGGACCCAAAUAAAUUUGAAAGCUUUUUACUUAACACAGACUUUUCCACAUAACUGGUGCGUAUCUGUGUGUGCCAUACACCAAAGAUAAUGAUCAUGAUAAUAAAACUGAAGAAUGUG